CUUGACGAGUUGAUGCUGGCUCUCUAGGGAGCAUGUGCUCACUUGUUAUUUUUAUAUUUCCACCUGUGCACCUUUUGUAGUUCUGGGAUAUUUUCAAAGUCAAAGCUUUAUUAGUUUUGACUGUGUUAUGGGGGCUGCUGUGCUGCAUAAGCCAGCUUUCCUUUACAUUUCCCAGAUCUAUGUUCUUCAUAUAUACACCAUGUAUGUUAUAGAAUGAAUUUCAAGGCCUUAAAAAAGCCUAUAUAAACAAUAUACAACUUUCAGCAACGGAUCUCUUGGCUCUCGCAUCGAUGAAGAACGCAGCGAAAUGCGAUAAGUAAUGUGAAUUGCAGAAUUCAGUGAAUCAUCGAAUCUUUGAACGCACCUUGCGCUCCUUGGUAUUCCGAGGAGCAUGCCUGUUUGAGUGUCAUUAAAUCAUCAAACUUAGCAAUUUUAUUAUUGAUAAGUUUGGACUUGGAAGUGCUGUUGGCUCUGGUCAACUCUUCUUAAAUGUAUUAGCCGGAAGCUCUUGUAACCGUCUAUUGGUGUGAUAAUUAUCUAUACCAUUGGCUGCUGCACUUAGUAUGAGCAUUCGCUUCUAACCGUCUACAUGCAGACAAUUUUGACCAUUUGACCUCAA
rnacentral:rRNA from 1 species